UGAUUCAGGCAAGUCGAGCGUGAAAGUCCCUUCGGGGACAAGUAAAGCGGCGAACUGCUGAGUAAUACGCAGGUAACCUGCCCGUGAGACUGGGAUAACUCGGCGAAAGCUGAGCUAAUACCGGAUAUUAUGCUGGAUCGCAUGGUUCGGCAUGAAAGGUUGGUGCCCUUCGGGGUCUUCCACUCGCGGAUGGGCCUGCGGCCUAUUAGCUUGUUGGUAGGGUAUGGCCUACCAAGGCGAAGAUGGGUAGCCGGCCUGAGAGGGUGAUCGGCCAGACUGGGACUGAGACACUGCCCAGACCCCUACGGGGGGCAGCCGAGGAGGAUCAUCGCCAAUGGGCGAAAGCUUGAGCGUGCGACGCCGCGUGAGGGAAGAAGGCCUUCGGGUCGUAAACCUCUGUCAGGAAACAGGAAUGCUUUGCGGGUAAAUAGCCCGUGAGGUCGACCAUUUCCGAAGGAAAGGUCUGCUAACUUCGUGCCAGCAGCCGCGGUAAUACGGAGGACCCAAGCGUUGUUCGGAUUUACUGGGCGUAAAGGGCGUUUAGGCGGGCUCGUAAGUCGGGUGUGAAAUCCCUCGGCUCAACCGGGGAAUUGUGUCCGAUACUGCGGGUCUUGAGUACAGCAGAGGAGAGUGGAACUCCUGGUGGAGCGGUGAAAUGCGUAGAUAUCAGGAGGAACGCCGGAGGCGAAAGCGACUCUCUGGGUUGUUACUGACGCUGAAGCGCGAAAGCCAGGGGAGCAAACGGGAUUAGAUACCCCGGUAGUCCUGGCCGUAAACGAUGGGCACUAGGUAGAGGGGGUUCUGACGCUCUCUCUGCCGUAGCUAACGCAUUAAGUGCCCCGCCUGGGGAGUACGGUCGCAAGACUAAAACUCAAAGGAAUUGACGGGGGCUCGCACAAGCGGUGGAGCAUGUGGCUCAAUUCGAGGCAACGCGAAGAACCUUAUCCUGGGCUUGACAUGCUGGUGGUACAACCCUGAAAGGGGAAGGACCUCUCUACGGAGGAGCCAGCACAGGUGCUGCAUGGCUGUCGUCAGCUCGUGUCGUGAGAUGUUGGGUUAAGUCCCGUAACGAGCGAAACCCUUGUCGUUAGUUGCCAGCGGGUAAUGCCGGGGACUCUAACGAGACUGCCGGUGUCAAACCGGAGGAAGGUGGGGAUGACGUCAAGUCCUCAUGGCCUUUAUGCCCAGGGCUGCACACGUGCUACAAUGGCCGGUACAAAGGGAAGCAAGACCGCGAGGUGGAGCCAAUCCCAAAAAGCCGGUCUCAGUUCGGAUUGGAGGCUGCAACUCGUCUCCAUGAAGUUGGAAUCGCUAGUAAUCGCGGAUCAGCUACGCCGCGGUGAAUAUGUUCCCGAGCCUUGUACACACCGCCCGUCAAGCCACGAGAGCUGGGGGUGCCCGAAGUCGCUGAUCCAACCCCGCGCAAGCGGGGAGGAAGGCGCCGAAGGUAAACCUGGUGAUUGGGACUAAGUCGAAACAAGGUA
rnacentral:rRNA from 1 species